UGAGUCUUUCUCCCUAUGUUGACGAGGCCA
rnacentral:piRNA from 1 species